rnacentral:rRNA from 1 species
GAUGAACGCUGGCGGCGUGCCUAAUACAUGCAAGUCGAGCGAACAGACGAGGAGCUUGCUCCUCUGACGUUAGCGGCGGACGGGUGAGUAACACGUGGAUAACCUACCUAUAAGACUGGGAUAACUUCGGGAAACCGGAGCUAAUACCGGAUAAUAUAUUGAACCGCAUGGUUCAAUAGUGAAAGACGGUUUUGCUGUCACUUAUAGAUGGAUCCGCGCCGCAUUAGCUAGUUGGUAAGGUAACGGCUUACCAAGGCGACGAUGCGUAGCCGACCUGAGAGGGUGAUCGGCCACACUGGAACUGAGACACGGUCCAGACUCCUACGGGAGGCAGCAGCAGGGAAUCUUCCGCAAUGGGCGAAAGCCUGACGGAGCAACGCCGCGUGAGUGAUGAAGGUCUUCGGAUCGUAAAACUCUGUUAUUAGGGAAGUACAAAUGUGUAAGUAACUAUGCACGUCUUGACGGUACCUAAUCAGAAAGCCACGGCUAACUACGUG